rnacentral:rRNA from 1 species
CCUACGGGGGGCUGCAGUGAGGAAUAUUGGUCAAUGGGCGUAAGCCUGAACCAGCCAUCCCGCGUGCAGGAAGAAGGCGCUAUGCGUCGUAAACUGCUUUUCCAGGGGAAGAAAACCCGAUACGUGUAUCGGCUUGCCGGUACCCUGGGAAUAAGCAUCGGCUAACUCCGUGCCAGCAGCCGCGGUAAUACGGAGGAUGCGGGCGUUAUCGGGAUUUAUUGGGUUUAAAGGGUGCGUAUAAGGAUGAGGUGAAAACCUUCAGCUUAACUGGAGACUUGCCAUUGAUACUGUUAGUCUUGAGUACGGUCAAGGUAGGCGGAAUGUGUAAUGUAGCGGUGAAAUGCUUAGAUAUUACACAGAACACCGAUUGCGAAGGCAGCUUACUGGGCCAUUACUGACGCUGAGGCACGAAAGCGUGGGGAGCGAACAGGAUUAGAUACCCCAGUAGUC